AGAGCGGCCGUCGGUGCA
rnacentral:snRNA from 1 species